ACAUUGGGGUGUAUGUGUCCUGGCGUUUCACUGCAUCUGUAUCUUUGUGUAAAUACCCAGUAGUGUAAUUGAUGGGUCGUAGGAUAGCUCUAUUUUUAACUUCUUGAGGACCCUCCACACUAAACCCAACACUCUUAAAAUGGCUUUCAAGGCUUGACACAAUCUGGACCCCCUUUUACUCUCUGACUUCAUCUCCUAAUUUUCUCUGCAAUUCUUUAACCCACCCACCCACCACCAGGUCCACCAGAUGAACCCCCAGCAGUGACUCCAACCCCAGGGCCUUUGAACGGGCUAUCCUGGACUCCCAGACAUGCAGGCCAGUUCCCCUGCCUGCUCACAGGUCACUGCCUCCAUGAGGCCUCCCUGACAUUGACAGUGGCACCCCACUCUCCACCCCUCCCCCUGUACUACCUCGGCUUUUGUCCACCACAUACCACUCCUUCUAGACACCAGGUAGUCUACUUAACAUAGUCUGUUUACUCUUCUUUGAUGGUCUCCACCACAGGUGCCUGGGAGAGUUGCAGGCAUAUAAAAGAUGCCCAAUGAGCAUUUGUGGUAUUGAUUUGUACAGGGAUUUAGUACAUGGAAAUCAAAUGGGAUCGCCACUUCUUCAGUGAAAAGAAGUAUUACAAAACAAAAUGUCCAGCCUUCUUCUUUAUCAAAUUGUCAGCAUCUUGAGGUCUAGGUUGGGCUUUUCUCCAGAGAAGGCUCUAGCAAUUCUGUUUAGAAAGAGAGCAAGGAAGAGAGGAAGGCUGCUGCUGCCCUGGAAAGAGAGCCUAUUACUCAGAUACAUAAAAAGUUUUUAACAGGACUUCCCUGACGUAGAAGAAAUGUUUUCCUAUUUCAUGUAGCAUUCCCUGCUCUCACACACCCACGUUCCUACCUGAGUCUGGGAGUCCAAGCCCCAGCCCCUGCUUCAGAGAAGGCAUCUCCAUCCCAUGUGGGGAGGCCGGGGAGGAAGGGGGGGGGGAGUCUUCCCUGCACAAGGAGCUGGGGUGGUCCUGAGGCUCCACUCUCAUCACCAGGAACCUCCACAGACUACAUUUUAGGCACUUCAGCCAAAUUGGAGAACUUUCCAUGUAAGAAAACCCAGAAACUACAGAAGGAAUAAAGCUGACCAUACAGAAAUGUCAAAAUAACCCAAAAUCUAAAUACAAAUAACAGUUGGGAAAAAAUCUUUGCAACAUAUGACAACUGAUUUCCUAGCUAUUAAAAGCUCUUCUACAGAUCAGUAGAAGGCCUUCAACCUGGAGAGUUACCAGCCAGCGAUACAAACAUUGCACACGGUUAAUAGAAGGAGAAAAACCCAGGACUCUGAUAAGACUUAAAAAAAUAUUUAACAUGGUUUAUGAGACACUCAAAUUUUUUCCUGUAUCAAUAUGGAGAAGGGGAAGAAAGGGGUGUGGCCAUGUGGGGUGGGGCAAAGGCACUGCCCUGCUGGGGAUGUAUUCGUGGCCAGAUGGCAACAUCUAAAAGGAUCACAUCCCAGGAGCAGUGCGGCCACAACCAUCCAGGACCCCCCAGCAUCACUGCUAGAUGUAACCCUGGAAGGAUGAUGGCAGGAGCCAGGGGAGGCAUCUGGCCACCCUGUCACCAUGUUUGUAGCAGCGCCGCCCAACAGCCAAAGGCAGAAACAAGCCAAAGGGCCACCGACAGGACAAGAAGCUCUGGGAACCGUCGCACGGCUCCUGCGGCGCCCGUGUACCUACAGAAUGCCGGGGUGCCUCCCUGCAGCGCUGCUGCCAACGGGCGCUCCCUGGGAACAACGUGAAGGUUCGGCGGUAAAGGGCUGGUUAAUACGUGAAAUAAAGCCACAAAUGAACGAA